rnacentral:rRNA from 1 species
GACGAACGCUGGCGGCGUGCUUAACACAUGCAAGUCGAACGGGAGUAUUGAAGAAGCUUGCUUUAGAGAUACUUUAGUGGCGGACGGGUGAGUAACGCGUGAGGAGCUGUCCUAUGCAGGGGGACAACAGCUGGAAACGGCUGCUAAUACCCCAUAAGCCGAGAGGUAAAAGGAUCAAUCCGGCAGAGGAGGUACUCGCGUCCUAUCAGCUAGUAGGUGAGGUAACGGCUCACCUAGGCGAAGACGGGUAGCCGGCCUGAGAGGGCGAACGGCCACACUGGAACUGAGAAACGGUCCAAACUCCUACGGGAGGCAGCAGUGAGGAAUAUUGGUCAAUGGGCGAGAGCCUGAACCAGCCAAGUCGCGUGAAGGAAGAAGGUCUUAUGGAUUGUAAACUUCUUUAGCAGGGGAAUAAAGGUUAUUACGAGCUAAUAAUUUGCAGGUACUCUGACGAAAAAGGAUCGGCUAACUCCGUG